GACGAACGCUGGCGGCGUGCUUAACACAUGCAAGUCGAACGGAAAGGCCCUGCUUUUGUGGGGUGCUCGAGUGGCGAACGGGUGAGUAACACGUGAGUAACCUGCCCUUGACUUUGGGAUAACUUCAGGAAACUGGGGCUAAUACCGGAUAGGAGCUCCUGCUGCAUGGUGGGGUUGGAAAGUUUCGGCGGUUGGGGAUGGACUCGCGGCUUAUCAGCUUGUUGGUGGGGUAGUGGCUUACCAAGGCUUUGACGGGUAGCCGGCCUGAGAGGGUGACCGGCCACAUUGGUACUGGGAUACGCCCCAGACCCUUACGGGGGGCAGGGGGGGGAAAUUUUCCCAAAGGGGCGGAGGCCUUAUGCAACAACCCCGGGUGCGGGAGGCCGGCUUUGGGGUUGGAAACCCCUUUCGCCUAUAACGAGGGGUGAGGGAGGGUAAUGGUGAAAAAAGCACCGCCUAACUACGU
rnacentral:rRNA from 1 species